rnacentral:rRNA from 1 species
UACAGAGGUCCCAAGCGUUGUUCGGAUUCACUGGGCGUAAAGGGUGCGUAGGCGGUCGGGUAAGUCUGAUGUGAAAUCUCACAGCUUAACUGUGAAACUGCAUUGGAUACUAUUCGGCUUGAGAGUUGGAGGGGGGACUGGAAUUCUUGGUGUAGCAGUGAAAUGCGUAGAUAUCAGGAAGAACACCCGUGGCGAAAGCGGCUCUCUGGAACGGUACUGACGCUGAGACGCGAAAGCGUGGGGAGCGAACAGG